UACGUAGGUGGCAAGCGUUGUCCGGAUUUAUUGGGUUUAAAGGGUGCGUAGGCGGCCCCGUAAGUCAGUGGUGAAAUAUCGCAGCUCAACUGUGAGGGUGCCAUUGAUACUGCAGGGCUUGAGUGAAUUUGAGGUAGGCGGAAUUGACGGUGUAGCGGUGAAAUGCUUAGAUAUCGUCAAGAACACCAAUAGUGAAGACAGCUUACCAAGCUUCAACUGACGCUGAGGCACGAAAGUGUGGGGAUCAAACAGG
rnacentral:rRNA from 1 species